AACAGGUGCGGCUGUACCUCGGAAAUCAGCUGUGUUUUGUGAGGGUGAGGUGGGCCUGGGCACGGUUGUUAGGGCCUGCACGGGCCCACCUCAGGCUGGGGCCCUCUUACCUUUCCUGGUCGGGCUGCAGGUGGCCUCUCUCUAGGGCUGUCUCCUGGACUUUCCUCCAAGUUUCUAAGGUUAUUCUGGGACCUGAUCCAGUGUGAGGACUGCUGAGCUUCAAGGGAGACUCUUGCUACUGCUAGUCCUGCAGAAAAUCUUGGAUGCAAUUCUUCCCAAUCAACAAGUCACCUAUUUCUGCUGGGAACUGUUAUUUCUGACACCUUCAGAAACUGAAUCUUGGAGACAGGUGGUACUUUGUUACAGAGAAGUAGGAUUGACUCACAGCCUCACUGAUUGACCACCGUCUCCUAUGUUCUAUACUGGUAUUAGCCGAACUGUCUAUUCCAUAUUCUCUGUUCCCUUGGUAAGGGGGUGGUAGAAUACCUGAAAAUAGGAGUUUAAAACAAACAAAUCCCUCAAGGAUUCUAACAGGAUUAAUCUCUGUAGAUGUCUUUGUGAAGAUUUCACAAAGUACGGAAAUACUACAGUCACAAUGAUGGAAAGCUUUUGAAUUCUGCUACUUAGAAUAAAACUUUGGAAUACCGCUUUUAUAUAAGAGUC
rnacentral:lncRNA from 1 species